ACAUUUAAAAUUGAGAAUGGAAAUGGGGAAUGUGUCAAAGAGACAACAACCCGACCAAAUAAAAAACAACAGCAGAGGGUCACCAACAGGUCUUCAAUGUAGCGAGAAAUUCCCGCACCCGGAGUCGUCCUUCAGCUGGCCCCUAAACAAAUAUAUACUAGUCCAGUGAUAAUGAACGCCAUACUAAUUUCCAAAUUGUACACAAGAAACUAAAAUUAAAAUAAUACAAGACUAACAAAGGCCAGAGGCUCCUGACUUGGGACAGGCGCAAAAAUGCGGCGGGGUUAAACAUGUUUGUGAGAUCUCAACCCUCCCCC
rnacentral:lncRNA from 1 species